rnacentral:rRNA from 1 species
UACGUAGGGUGCAAGCGUUGUCCGGAAUUAUUGGGCGUAAAGGGCUCGUAGGUGGCCAACUAAGUCAGACGUGAAAUCCCUCGGCUUAACCGGGGAACUGCGUCUGAUACUGGAUGGCUAGAGAUUGGGAGAGGGAUGCGGAAUUCCAGGUGUAGCGGUGAAAUGCGUAGAUAUCUGGAGGAACGCCGGUGGCGAAGGCGGCAUCCUGGACCAACACUGACGCUGAGGAGCGAAAGCGUGGGGAGCAAACAGGG